CGGAAGAGGGUCUCCUUUUCAUGGAAUCAUCCGCAUCCAAUCAUAUCUAACGCAUGAGACAUCCUGCGUUGUCUGGCAACUUACCAUCCAGCUACGCAUAUUUCAACAGAGUGUUAAAGAGGAAAGUAAUUGACUAAAUGCCGACUCGAUGAUUUCCGUGCAAGAUGAGUGAAUCCAAGGAUAUCUGGUGAGCAGAAUGCAACGGACUAUGUUAUGUUAAACCAUAAGCUAAAUACAAUGAAUACUGUCAGUUCCCCAGAACGAGAGGUUAAUAAUCAUACUGAAUCAAACGAGGUACAUAUUUGAACGAGAUUUUAAAAUGAUAACGAUUGGAAGCCCAUGAGGAAAUUUCAAAGAAUGGUACCUUCACGUUACCUUUAGGCGCUGAUUCGUCUCGAAGAUAAAAUGUAUAAAAAAUAAGUUAUUUUUAUAAAUUGAAGUGCAUA